UAAAACCAUGGGGUGGAAAGUUUAAAAUGCCAUAAAAUAAGAAUCAUAUAUGCAUUCUUUACACUGUAAAGCAUUUUACCAGACAUUAGAAUCUGCAUUCAGAAUUCUUUCUCAGAACAUAAGUGUUCUUGAAGACAUACAUUUUGUCUUACUAAUCUGUUUCUUCCAAGCACUACUGUACUAGGCAUACGGUAAAGAUAUACAUUCAAGUUUUAAAAGUAAAUACUUUUUCCUGGUAGUGGCCAGGGCCUGCGUUCCUCAGACCAAAAGGCGCAAACUGACAUUGCUGUAAUUUCAGAAGAGAAGUGAAAUGUAUAAAACGAAGUAAUUUUGGGGAAGGAAAAUGUCACAAUUUUUCUUCAGUGUUGUCAGGCACACUAACCCGGGAAGCUGUCUCUGGGCCUGAACUAUCCAAAUUAGUGUCCGAGGAGGUGUGACAAAUGCAGGCCCUUCCAAGUUUGACCCUGAUUCUCAAAGGUGGCCAAAAGCCGUCUCUAGAAACGGCGGUGGCAGCGGCGUGAUUCUGGGAGGUCCAUUCAACUUUUAACAGGUCCUGGGCAGUGACCGGGUUGCUGGGCAGUGCAAAGGCAGAGAUUGGCGAGAACAGGCGGCGAUCAAGCUUCCCAGCGAGGGUCAAAGUCCAGCAGCUUGGAACUAGUGAGCCGGGCUUGUAGGAGCGAAGUGGCUCGCGCGGGCCCGGGCCGCAGCCGCUCCCCAGACACCGGGGAUCCGGCCCGACUGUUUCCUACCCACAACGGCCAAGGCCCGCUACAGCGCGUCCACGAAGCCCUAGUACUGAGCCAGGACGGGGCUCUCCCUCUCGAUGUAGGGGACUACGAACUGCUCCGCCACUCGGUGAGGCAGCUAAUUAAGAAAGCCACCUUCAGGAUGUCUUUCGAGAAUCUAGCCUCGAAGAAAGUCAUGUAAGAGAACGCCUGCAUCAAAAAGUCGGGAGGCCGGGCGGAGUCGCCGUUAAACGUCUAGGGAAAGCCACCAGGUGGGCCAGCGAACGCUCCCGGGCCAGCAGGUAUAUAUUGGAAAAUAAAAUUUUAAAACAAC
rnacentral:lncRNA from 1 species